rnacentral:rRNA from 1 species
CGUAGGUGGCAAGCGUUGUCCGGAUUUAUUGGGUUUAAAGGGUGCGUAGGCGGUCCUAUAAGUCAGGUGUGAAAUACGGCAGCUUAACUGUCGAGGUGCAAUUGAUACUGCAGGACUUGAGUACAGACGAGGUAGGCGGAAUUGACGGUGUAGCGGUGAAAUGCUUAGAUAUCGUCAAGAACACCGAUAGCGAAGGCAGCUUACUAGACUGUAACUGACGCUGAUGCACGAAAGUGUGGGGAUCAAACAGGAUUAGAUACCCUGGUAGUCCACACUGUAAACGAUGAUUACUCGAUGUUGGCGAUACACAGCCAGCGUCUUAGCAAAAGCGAUAAGUAAUCCACCUGGGGAGUACGCCGGCAACGGUG